rnacentral:pre_miRNA from 1 species
UUAAUCCAAUUGCAGUGGAAACUUUCUGCUGUAAUGGGUGUUUUUGACAAUUACAGCAGAAAGUUUCCACUGCAAUUGGAUUAAU